rnacentral:rRNA from 1 species
CAUGUAGGCGGUUACAUAAGUCUGAUGUGAAAUACUACAGCUUAACUGUGGGAACGCAUUGGAAACUGUGUGACUUGAAUCUGUGAGGGGUAACUGGAAUUCCUAGUGUAGGGGUGAAAUCUGUUGAUAUUAGGAAGAACACCGAUGGCGAAGGCAAGUUACUGGCACAUGAUUGACGCUGAGAUGCGAAAGCGUAGGGAGCGAACA